UCUAUUUCCAUUUUUGUCAUGUUAACCAGUCAGAUAUCUGUGAGUUGAUACCUCAGAGUUGUUUAUUUUUGAGUUUCUCUAAUUAAUAGCACUUUGGAGCAUUUUUUCAAGACUAAAGAUAGUUUUAAUUUCUUCAUCUGAGAAUUGCCCCCUCUUUUCCUUUGAUCAUUUGUCAACUAGGGAAUGCUUUGUAUUCUUAUAAAUUUGAUUUCUGAGAAGAUAUUAUUCACCAGACAUUGAAAUAAAUGUGUAAUAGUCAUUGAUAUAAUACUAUUAAGAUGCUGAUUAUACACUACUCUAAGGAGACAGUCUAAACAUGGGCAUAGGAAGAAGAAAUCAAUAAAUGUGACUAUAAGUAGAAUUAAGAUUAUGGUUGUCCCUAACCCCAGCAGUGAGGAAGGGAAACCUGUUAUAUAGAUGGAGAAGAUGACCCAGAACAGAGCCUUGGGAGCCACCUACAUUUAGCAGAACUUGAGAUUCAUCAAGGAGUUACACUGAGAAAGCUAUGCAAAGGCUCUGCAGAACCAGUGAGAGAACGGUGUUUUGGACUUGAUUCUGCUGGGAAUCCACGGAAGAGUAAAAGGAAUAUCAACUAUUGACUCUUCCACCACCCCCAGUUCUAAUACUCUAAUUAUUGUAUGAUUUAACUGUUGAUUGGUUGAUGACUAUUUUAAAACAUUUAAGCUGAGUUAGAAAUAAAAAGAAAACAAUGCCUGAAAGAGCAAAUCCAUUAAGCAGAAAAAUCAAGACCAUAUACAAUGCAAAAAGAUAUUAAACUACCUUACCUGUCACAGGGCUUGUGAAUACUGUAGCAGAUAAUGCUGAGUUUAGGGAGAUGUGAUUCAGAAAUUCCAUUAGUAUAAUAAUAGGUUUGUCUACUGGCACUAUUUCCCAGCUACACUGCAUUAAAUGUCAUUUAACUGUUCCAAUAAAUUUAGGCUCAUGGGUACAAUUGAUAAGCAUUUCUCUCUGCAUAAGAAUGGAAUGAGCUGGCACAAUAGAUGGAUCAAUACACAAAGCAAGUUUAUAAUGACUCAUUAAUGUGUUGAGGACAGAACCAAUAUGAAAAAUGAUUAUUAAGUUAAUUGCUUUGAAAUAAUAACAUUUAGAAAAUUAUGCCUAGGAUUAAUCAUUAAUUUAUGGAAGUGAAACAUGAAAUCUCCAAUUAAAAUUGAAAAAAAAGAAACCAAAACAAAAGCAAAAUUACAUUUAUAAAGGACUGCCUUGACAGAUAUAAACACUCAAAUAACAUUGUUGCUCUAUAUUUGAAAAGCUAAAUUCAGUAUUCUCAAUAUUUGAACUAGACUCUAGCAAAGACUGAAAAUAAGCAAUAGGUUCACUAAUGCAGAAUAAUUUGUCAUGAUGGGAAUUGAACCAGAAUCUUAACAAAGCAUUUGGGCAACCUGGGCAAGGUUUGAAAAUCAUAACCUCCUACAUCUGCUCCUCUGUAUUUUACAAUUCACCGGAGACCUUGAGCUUUCAGUGUAACACAUGAGGCUUGACAUCACAAAAUACACCCAAUGUGCUUCAGAGAAUGGAAUUUUCUGGCAUUAAAAAUACGUGCAUUUAUAGAAAACAAUAUAAGACACAAUCUACCAUUGCACCUACAUGCAGAGCUGCAUCCUACCUCCUUUCCUGUUCUGCUUUGAACUAAUUCCAAGUGAAGUUACAGGAAAGGCCCACAUUAAACAGUAUAUAUUUAAUAGGUUUGAUUUAUGGCAUGAAACUGUCACAAAGAAAGAUUCUACUAUCUUGAAUUUUACUCCUAGACAUGGAAUCCCAAAGCUCCUAGCAAAUAACCAACUGAGAGAAUAACCAAUUUGCUACUUUGGACUGUCAGCAAAAAAUAGGAUGCUACAUUUCAUUCUUACUGGUAGGAGAUUGCUGCUUAUCAAAUUGUUAAUCUUCAGAGCUCUGAGUGCUGAUUAGUGAGCAGACACUUCAGAAUGGUUAAAAUCUGCCUUGUUACUCUGUUGGCUUCUCAGGAAUUAGGCCUUCCUUAAAGCUAUUCUAAGUAGAAACACAACUGUCUGUAGCCCUUGCUAAAAGAUAAAUUAAGAGGAUCUUGUUGCUGUGUUUAGAAACCUCAUUUAAAUAAAAUAAA